UUUUUCUUUUUGUGGGUUAAUACUCAGAGGGUCACCAAGCCUGGAGGUGACCAGAGACAAAAGUGCCCACUUGAGAUAAAGAUAACACUUUAGCAAUUAUCCUCCAAUUAAAAAAACUUUUUAAAAGUGCAAAAAUACAGCAGAUCCAAAUAACAUCUUAAGGAGGGUCUGGAAGUAUAAAUCAGGACCAGAGGCUUGAGGAAGAUGUAAAUUUCAAAUUUGUUCAACUCUUAAGGUUGACUGGACGCACUGCAGCUUAGAUGAAAUGUUUUCUGCAUUUGAGAUUUUAUAUCCACCUGACAUAAUUAC
ensembl:lncRNA